rnacentral:rRNA from 1 species
AUUGAACGCUAGCGGGAGGCUUAACACAUGCAAGUCGAACGAGUGGCGGACGGGUGAGUAAUGUAUGGGAACGUGCCCAGUGGCGGGGGAUAACUACUGGAAAGGGUAGCUAAUACCGCAUACCAUCGGAGCGGCCGAUAUCGGAUUAGCUAGUUGGUGGGGUAAAGGCUCACCAAGGCGACGAUCCGUAGCUGGUUUGAGAGGACGACCAUCCACACGGGAACUGAGACACGGCCCAGACGCCUACGGGAGGCAGCAGUGGGGAAUAUUGGACAAUGGGGGAAACCCUGAUCCAGCCAUCCCGCGUGUAUGAGAAGGCCUUCGGGUUGUAAAGUACUUUUGGCGGAGAAGCGGUAUCUGCAGAAUAAGCACCGGCUAACUACGUGCCAGCAGCCGCGGUAAUUC